rnacentral:misc_RNA from 1 species
AUGGCGUAAAUUGGAUAUUUGUAUAUUUAACAUUAGAAUGUUUUGGAUUUAACAAAGAAGCCAUUAAAUGCAUCAAUACAAUAUACCAGAAUCCUAUAGCUAGAAUAAAAAUGAAUGGUAGUCUAACAAAAAGCAUAAAGCUACAGAGGGGAACACGCCAAGGAUGUUGCCUGUCCCCUCUCCUCUUUGACUUAUACAUUGAACCUCUGGCGCAGGCUAUAAGACAGUGUGAGGAAAUAAAGGGAAUACAUAUUAAAAAACAAAAACAUGUAAUAAGUCUGUUUGCAGACGAUGUAAUAAUAUAUUUAGAAAGACCUGAUACAAGCCUAACACAUUUAAG